rnacentral:rRNA from 1 species
CACGUAGGGGGCAAGCGUUGUCCGGAUUUAUUGGGCGUAAAGAGCUCGUAGGCGGCUCAGUAAGUCGGGUGUGAAACCUCCAGGCUCAACCUGGAGACGCCACCCGAUACUGCUGUGGCUUGAGUCCGGUAGGGGAGCGUGGAAUUCCUGGUGUAGCGGUGGAAAUGCGCAGAUAUCAGGAAGAACACCCGUGGCUAAGGCGGCACUCUGGGCCGGUACUGACGCUGGAGGAGCGAAAGCGUGGGGAGCGAACAGG